UAGGAAGCUUGCUUUCUAGAGACCGGCGCACGGGUGCGUAACGCGUAUGCAAUCUACCUUUCACAGAGGGAUAGCCCAGAGAAAUUUGGAUUAAUACCUCAUAGUAUAAUUGAAUGGCAUCAUUUAAUUAUUAAAGAUUUAUCGGUGAAAGAUGAGCAUGCGUCCCAUUAGCUAGUUGGUAUGGUAACGGCAUACCAAGGCUACGAUGGGUAGGGGUCCUGAGAGGGAGAUCCCCCACACUGGUACUGAGACACGGACCAGACUCCUACGGGAGGCAGCAGUGAGGAAUAUUGGACAAUGGGCGCAAGCCUGAUCCAGCCAUGCCGCGUGCAGGAUGACGGUCCUAUGGAUUGUAAACUGCUUUUAUACGAGAAGAAACACCUCUACGUGUAGAGACUUGACGGUAUCGUAAGAAUAAGGAUCGGCUAACUCCGUGCCAGCAGCCGCGGUAAUACGGAGGAUCCAAGCGUUAUCCGGAAUCAUUGGGUUUAAAGGGUCCGUAGGCGGUCAGAUAAGUCAGUGGUGAAAGCCCAUCGCUCAACGGUGGAACGGCCAUUGAUACUGUCUGACUUGAAUUAUUAGGAAGUAACUAGAAUAUGUAGUGUAGCGGUGAAAUGCUUAGAGAUUACAUGGAAUACCAAUUGCGAAGGCAGGUUACUACUAAUAUAUUGACGCUGAUGGACGAAAGCGUGGGUAGCGAACAGGAUUAGAUACCCUGGUAGUCCACGCCGUAAACGAUGGAUACUAGCUGUUGGGAGCAAUCUCAGUGGCUAAGCGAAAGUGAUAAGUAUCCCACCUGGGGAGUACGAACGCAAGUUUGAAACUCAAAGGAAUUGACGGGGGCCCGCACAAGCGGUGGAGCAUGUGGUUUAAUUCGAUGAUACGCGAGGAACCUUACCAAGGCUUAAAUGUAGAUUGACCGGUUUGGAGACAGACUUUUCGCAAGACAAUUUACAAGGUGCUGCAUGGUUGUCGUCAGCUCGUGCCGUGAGGUGUCAAGUUAAGUCUUAUAACGAGCGCACCCCCUGUUGUUAGUUGCAAGCGAGUCAUGUCCGGGAAC
rnacentral:rRNA from 1 species